rnacentral:rRNA from 1 species
CGCACGGGUGAGUAACACAUGGGUACCUGCCUUUCAGUGAGGAAUACCGGCGAGAAAUCGCCGACAAUACCGCAUGCGCUUCCCCCCUAACGGGGAAGGGAAAAGCCCGUAAGGGCGCUGGGAGAUGGGCCCGCGGCCGAUUAGCUGGUUGGUGGGGUAAGAGCCUACCAAGGCGACGAUCGGUAGCUGGUCUGAGAGGACGAUCAGCCACACUGGGAUUGAGAACGGCCCAG